AUUCUACAGUCUCACAGUUGCAUGUUAUGGUGAAGACCACUGAAAUAUGAGGAAUCAAUAGGAAAUACAAAAAAGGAGAAUGUAGUCUAAUGAAAGAUAUCCUAUGAGCUGCAUUCGUGAUACCCCUUAUGGCAGUACUCUCUUAACUGGUCUUCAAAGUAAUGUUAGUCAGAGUCUGUGUUAUUUAGCAGUCUUUUACAGCUCGCUGGAAGAUCAUCAAGUCACCAGACCUAAGGACAUGCUCAGGGUGAGAUGAGUUGUCCACAGAACAUCUGAUCAGAGGAGAGAAGAAUACUGCCAAGUGUAUUUAUGAUCAAGUUUGAAAAUACAAGAUGGCAAAAUGAGCAGAGGGCAGGAGGUUUUGAAUGUGCUUCAUCAGCAGAGGGGAGAGGUCAUCUGGGACGAUUAGUUAUAGGAGCUAUUAAAUCACCCCUGUGACACUGUUAGAAGAAGCUGCUUAACGUAAUCAUGUGCAAUCAGUAAAAAAGCUGUUUAUUGUUAAAAUGAUUUUGAUUUUCAUAUCUCAUAUUGUUGUGUAAGAUGGUGCAAUAUAAGGC
rnacentral:lncRNA from 1 species